UAUUCAAAAUCUCUCCGUCUAACACUACUGUAAACGUUGCCGUAUUGGACAAAGAUAAGGCAAAAACACGAAAUAGGGUCCAUUAGACACAUAGCAUAAAUUAAGUACUAGCGGUGAUACAGGCAUGUCCAAGGAGAUAGCAAAUGAAGGUUCGAUACAGAUACAGAAGCGACACACAUAAAAUAGUCUAAAAUACAUAUAGGGCUGUAGGAUUGGAUGGACUAGAACGACAAGUAGUGUGCAUCAGGAAUACGGCUGGGACUAGAACGACCGAGGGAAAAUGCUGACUGUCCCUGGGGUGAUGCAAGGAGUGGCAGCUGCAUGCUCACAUGCAUAUUCACCGAAGGUCCCUGAAUGCGCAGACUGAUUAUUAAAGUUUCUUAGAAAGAGCACUGCAAAGUACUUGGAUCAUACUGGAAUUGGAGUGGCAUCAUAUUCCCAGGGGAGCGGCGC
rnacentral:lncRNA from 1 species